rnacentral:rRNA from 1 species
UUUCUUCUGGUUAAAAUAAGAAGUAUGACCUGCCCAAUGAGGAGUUGAAUGGCCGCGGUAUUUUGACCGUGCAAAGGUAGCAUAGUAAUUAGUCUUUUAAUUGAGGACUGGUAUGAAAGGUCGAACGAGAAAUAAACUGUCUCCUUUGAGUGUAUUGAAACUUUAUUUUAUAGUGAAAAAGCUAUAAUGAUGUAAAAGGACGAGAAGACCCUAUAGAGCUUAAGGAUAUAAAACAGUUAAAAUUUAGAAAAAUUAGUUAAAUUUUUUAUUCUCUUUUUAUUGGGGUGCAGAAAUAAGUGAGUUUAAGAUCUAAAGUGAAAAAAAGAAUAAGUUACCUUAGGGAUAACAGCGUUAUUCUUUUGGAGAGUUCAAAUCGAUAAAAGAGUUUGCGACCUCGAUGUUGGAUUAGAAAUCUUUGUUAAAGCAAAAUUUAAUAAUUAAGGUCUGUUCGACCUAUAAAUUUCUA